CGGGGCAGAGGAGGAUAGGGGAGGUCCCGGAGCGGGGCAGAGGAGGAUAGGGGAGGUCCCGGAGCGGGGCAGCCGGGAAUAGGGGUCGUGCCGGAGCGGGGCGGGGGAGGAGAGUGGUGGCGCCGGAACGGAGCGGCGGUUGGGGCGCCUAGAAGGGACCUAGCUGAGACGGCGGAGGUAGGAUGACGGGGUCUCCUAUAGCUCUACACUCGACCAGCUGUGUUAAGCCCUCGUCCGUAUACCUUAACCUAGCUCUAGGUCACGCAGUAGUUCAGCGAGACCCUUCCUCAAGCGUCGAGCGCAUGCACGAGAUGUCCUAGUCGGAUUAGAGAGACAGCGGCGACAACAACCGAACGUUAUCUGGUCUGAUAAAGGUCUCCAUGGUGUUUCACCAACUAAGUUUCAAGUGUGAUAAAUAUAGUGUCCUACCAUGUUUACCUCUUUUUUUAUUCCGGACCUCGAUAUGGGUUUAAAUACGUCGGGUUACUUCACAUAGCGGAACUCGAGGUAAUAAAUCCGGUCUAGAGUACUCUACACAACACUGUUAACGUAACCGUAUGUUAUUCGACAACAUACCACCAACGGAAGAACAUGUACUCGAACGCUGACGCCCUCUAGUGCUGAACAAGAAAACUUAAAAAAACCAAGUAGAGUACUAGGAAGUUCGGUCGGUUCCCCCUCUAGUCACUUCUCCACUUCAUCUUUUACGACGUGCCUUAUCCUCCGUAUAGAAGUUGACCAAACUACGUACAACCUUCUCCGAACUUCACCGCCAGCAUUGUGUCAUUCAACCCUCCUGAGUUACCGUCUCAAUUAUAAUAGUUGUAAAAGGAACAAUCUGGGCUGUCAUAGACCACAACAAUCAAGUGUACCUGGUACUUCACCUCAGACUAGUGAGUAAUGGUGUAGUUGUCCAGGACUUUCCCUCAUGCAUGGGGUGAUGCGACUCUAGGCCUGUAUGACAGAAGAGUUACCGAGGACAAUACUUUGUGAAGACUUGGGACGGACUUGAAUCACACGAUACGUUUAGUACUACAUGACAAACCGUCAUCAGUAUACAUAACCUCUACAACGACCGAUGUCCCCACUACUGUGGCCUCCAUUCCGUCGCGCGGCCCAGCUCCUGCAGCGUCUGUGGCCCCUGCUCCCGCCGCCGCACUGCUGCCGCAUAACUCCUCUCAAUCCCGACGUUCCGCCCAGCUCCUGCAGCGCCUCUGGUCCCCGCUCCCAGCGCACGGUUCCCGCCGGCCCGCCCCGCCCCGCCUCGCCCCUGCCGCCCUGCCGCACGGCUGCGCUCCAAGCACCGCACCACCGCAACUAACGCCUCUAUCCCGUAAUAAGCGACCUACCUCAACAAUAGCAACCCUACACAUCCUCGGACCUGCACCCUCAGACGGCCGUCUUGUAAAGCAAACUUGGCAGCUAGACAAACAUUUUACCAACUACUUUGCACCUGACAACCUACCAUCAAUCACCCAUACUUGCCUGCAGAACCCAUUAGGACACACGUGAAAAAGCACACCUACAUCCCCUUCAUUGCAAACCAGAAAAUUAUCAUC
rnacentral:rRNA from 1 species